UACGUACGAGGCGAGCGUUAUCCGGAAUUACUGGGCGUAAAGCGCGCGCAGGUGGCUUGUAAGUGAGAUGUGAAAUCUCCCGGCCUAACUGGGAGGGGACAUUUCAGACUGGCAGGCUUGAGGACAGCAGAGGUAGGUGGAAUUCCUGGUGUAGUGGUGAAAUGCGUAGAGAUCAGGAGGAACACCGGUGGCGAAGGCGGCCUACUGGGCUGUCUCUGACGCUGAGGCGCGAAAGCUCGGGGAGCGAACGGG
rnacentral:rRNA from 1 species